rnacentral:rRNA from 1 species
ACACCGGCGGCCCGAGUGGUGAUCGUGAUUAUUGGGUCUAAAGGGUCCGUAGCCGGUUUGGUCAGUCCUCCGGGAAAUCUGAUGGCUCAACCAUUAGGCUUUCGGGGGAUACUGCCAGGCUUGGAGCCGGGAGAGGUAAGAGGUACUACAGGGGUAGGAGUGAAAUCUUGUAAUCCCUGUGAGACCACCUGUGGCGAAGGCGUCUUACCAGAACGGGUUCGACGGUGAGGGACGAAAGCUGGGGGCACGAACCGGAUUAGAUACCCGGGUAGUCCCAGCCGUAAACGAUGCUCGCUAGGUGUCAGGCAUGGCGCGACCGUGUCUGGUGCCGCAGGGAAGCCGUGAAGCGAGCCACCUGGGAAGUACGGCCGCAAGGCUGAA